rnacentral:snoRNA from 1 species
CUUCCCAUUUGACUACCAUAAUUUCUCCUAAGAAUAGAUUUUAGUGGCUAUGCUUACAGGCUAAAGCAAAUUACCAUGAUCUGAAGAGGGGGGAUUUGUGUCCUUCCAUACGAAAUGGCUGAACAGAAAAAA